GGCGCCGGCGCGGCGGUCGGAACCGGCGUCGUUGUGGGCGGCGUGGCCGCCGCAGCGGCCGCCGGUGUCGGCCUCGCCGCCGGCGCCG
rnacentral:tRNA from 1 species